AUCUUAUCCAAGCAUAAGUUGAAGUUACAUAUGGCAGACAUCAUAGACCAUGAUAACGGCUAUUAGCCUUUGGGUAUAUGAUAUGUAUACUCUUGCCGUAGGCAGAUAUAUAUUUCUGUGCAGAGGCGGCGGGGUAAUAGAUGGCAAGCCCGAGCAACAAUAGAGCUGCUGUACAGGGCACGAACGAUGACGCCACUGCCAGCAAACUUUCCUGUGUGAAAAAGGGUUACAUAAAGGACAACUAUGUUCAUCUAUUUGUUAGAAGACCAAUGAAGAGAUCUCCAAUCAUUAAUCGUGGUUAUUAUGCCCGAUGGGCUGCAAUACGGAAGUUACUUUUUCAGUUUCUUGAUGCUGGAAUGGAAACUGUUGAUAAUACCCCAUUGAAAAAACAAGUGAUUUCCCUUGGAGCUGGCUAUGACACAACCUUCUUCCAACUUCAGGAAGAAGGGAAAGCUCCAACACUAUAUGUUGAGUUAGACUUCAAGGAGGUGACCAGUAAAAAGGCGGCAAUAAUUAAUUCUCAUGAACAGUUAAGGGAUAAGAUUGGCAAGUCACCAAUUAUUUCACAAGAAAGAGGAGAAGUGCACAGUGAGAAGUAUAAGCUUCUGCCAGUUGAUCUGUGUAAUAUCAAGGAACUUGAUGCAAUUUUUGAUCUGGCUCAGCUGGAUUCUAGCUUGCCGACCUUUAUCAUUGCAGAAUGCGUUCUUGUCUACUUGGAGCCACGUGCGAGCCGUGCAGUAGUCAAGUGGGCAGCAGAGAAGUUCUCCAGUUCUGUUUUUGUCAUAUAUGAACAGAUUCAUCCAGAGGAUGCAUUUGGACAACAAAUGAUCAAAAACUUGGAGAGUCGUGGCUGUCCUCUUCUUAGUCUGCAUGAUACACCAUCCUUGGAGGCAAAGCAAUUGCUGUUCACAGAUUCAGGAUGGCAGAAAGCUACAGCUUUGGACAUGGAUGCUAUAUACAAUAAGUGCCUUGAUAUGCAGGAAAGACACAGGAUUGAGCGCUUGGAAAUAUUUGAUGAAUUUGAGGAAUGGCAUAUCAUGCAGGCAUGUAUCUACAGAAAUCUAGGUUUCCAUAUCACAAGUUAAUCAAUAUGUCCAGUGCCGCAUACAUGCUGCUGUUAUGCCCUCUCUGAGGAACAUUACUGUGUUGCUUAUGCGGUCAAGGAUCUAAAGGGUUUAUUCCAAACGUUUGGCUUUUGCAAUGUGUAGCAUGAAGGAAAACUGAUACUGUUUUAAUAUGAUGGAGUGGAAGUAGAUAUCAAAAUUUGAAGCAUUGCUUGCAGCCAUUAUGUAUUUUUCAGCAGAUGGCUGUCCGAGCUUGCUUGCUGAAGCAAAGGAUUUCCAUUCAUUAAAAUUUGUAAGCAAUGAAUAUAGAUAUUUAUGCAAGCUAGAGAAAAAUAUGGAUAAUGUUAUUUUGUUUGUUUAGAAGUCUGGAUUACUUGCUCAAAUAACAUACUGACACAUCAAAAUUACAGUUAAUGUGUAUAGAUAAAUUAGAUAAAGUAGGAAUCAAAUUCCGAAGACUCAUUCUUCUUUGGCAUCUCAUACAAUGGUGCCAAGGGAUAUUGAACUUGUAUCUUUUGGCGAUGCCAAGUUGUGAUGAAAUUCUCAAAACAUAUCGAGUGGGAAAAGAAUGGGAUAGAACAGAAUCCAUAGUCAUCUUGUGCCUUGAACCAUAAGGUCAUUAUGUUUCAGGAAUAGAGCGAUUCAUGUUGACUAGGUUUCUCCGUACACCAAUACAUCAAUGGAGUUGAUCUGAAGGGAUUUUGUGGAGAGGAUCUAAUAACAUUAAGAGCAGUAGUCCCAAGCUAUCUGUUAAAUCUCAUAUUUUUUAAAGCAAGUUACUCGUAAGUUUUCAGAUAUUAUUUCAUCAUCUUAUGUACAAUACAAAAAUGAAUUGUCAAUGGACAAGGUGCCUUCAUGGUUGGAUUAAAUCAUAA